GAGGUCGGAGGAAGGUGUGGGGACCAAGGAUGGGGGAAGGAACUGCUCCAGACACACUGCAAAGAACGGCAAGAGGUGACCGAUUAGAACGGGAUGGGAGGCAGAUCGGCCGGUGCACACCCAGCUCUGCGUGCUUGGGCCAGUGUCCUGAUGUUCUGAGCCUCGGUUUCCUCCCCUGUAAAGAGGUUGCAGUCAGGAAACCUACCUUGUAUAGAGGGUUGUUACACGUGUGGGCUCCACGGUUAAUUGGCGUAAAGUCCUUAAAACAGGAACUGGCGCCCGCUAAGCAGCGCUGUCUAAGGGAAGGUUCUGCACAGAUAGAGAUGUUCUGUAUUCGCGCGUCCGGUGGGUGGCCACGGGCUACGUGCGGCUGUUGGGGAUUUGACGUGUGGCUACUCUGGACGUGGAAUUGGAUUUUUAGCUGUGUUUAAUUUAACUAGAAUAUUAGAGUUCCAUGUGGCUACUGCGUUGGACGGUGCAGUUCUAAAGCCUUAGCCAUUUUCGUUAUACAGACUAAGAUUCUCUUGUAUUCUCUUGUAUGGGGCCUCUUAAAAGCCCCACAUUAACAAUAACAGUAGCAACCACAGCACUUACGGGUCUGUUUUAAGUGCCAGAGAUCCUCCUAAGCAGUUGAUGUGAAUUAAGCCUUUGAAUCCACCGUGAGAAGUGCCCUCCACUGAAUAUAACCAGUCUUACUACCGCUCGAGUGUGCACUUUGUGACAGCCGCCCCCCGCCUCCCACCAGAAACUCUUGACACACAUAUCAUGUCAUUUAACUGCAGGAGGAGAGGCUUAGGUAUAAUAAAUGUGGGAACGGCCACAGGACAGCGUCAGCAAGGUGGGGGUAACACGUGGCUGCGUUUUUAUCUCUAUUUGGAUCUGAGCUAGAAGGUCCAAGCUCAGAGCUCACAGAGAUGAAACAGGCAGAGCAGAAUUCGCCUGCCAUGAAGGCGGUGGCCACCAUCUCAGGGCACCUGUGUGGUCUUAGGACAGGAGCCCUCAUGCUACUUCUUCCCAUAAGCUGUUUUUUUUUUUUUCAUUGCUCUUCCCACCCUUUAUCUUUCCUUUUUUAUUUAUAACUUUUUCAUUUUGAAUAUUAAAAAUGACCAUGAUUUUUCUUUUUUGUAGCUCCUGCUCUCUGGAGCUAGACUCUGUCUUCCCAUUCCCUGAAUAUGUGCUGUCUUUGUGGGUUGCUUUGACCAAGAGAAUAUGGCAGCAGUGAUGCUGUAGGAUUUUGGAGGUUAGUAACCUGCUGAUUCCGACACCAGUUUCAAUGUGUGUGUUUUUUCCCCCUACACUACCAAGCAAUCUCGGGCCCCAGCUGGGAGUUGGAGACACUGUCUACCUGAAGAUGGCAUCAUUUAGCAAUGACUAACUGAUACACCUUCCUAGAAUGAGUUUCCUGCUGACACUUCCCUCACCAAUGUCAAAACGUAUUGAUAAAUCAGGAUUUCCUGCUGAGCUCACUUCAUCAGCACCAGUCUCUGCUCUAGAGUCCACCUGUCCCACAGCCCGGAGAGUUUUGUUUCCAGCCAACAUCAGGGUUUUCCUAGGAGCAUGGGUACUUUGAGGGAGAGAAAAAGAAAAGAGAGUCUCCAAGUAGUGGGCCAGGGAUUCAGCACCACGGACAGCUCAUGAGCGCCCGGUUCAGCACCGCGGACAGCGCCAGGAACCUACUUUUCGCACCGCCUCUACUAGAUGCAUGUGCUCUUCUGAGCAGAGUCCUCAAUCCACUCCCAACCCUCAUCUCCAGAGUCUCCAAAUGCUGAUAUAUGAGUUAUCCAGGCUGUCCCGUGUGUUAACCUCAGAAACAUCGGCAUCAAA